GACGAACGCUGGCGGCGUGCUUAACACAUGCAAGUCGAACGGAAAGGCCCUGCUUGCCGGGUGCUCGAGUGUCGAACGGGUGAGUAACACGUGGGUGAUCUGCCCCUUACUUUGGGAUAAGCCUGGGAAACUGGGUCUAAUACUGGAUAUGACCAUGCUGGAGGUGGUGUGGUGGAAAGAUUAGUUUCGGUAAGGGAUGAGCUCGCGGCCUAUCAGCUCGUUGGUGGGGUAAUGGCCUACCAAGGCGUCGACGGGUAGCCGGCCUGAGAGGGUGGACGGCCACAUUGGGACUGAGAUACGGCCCAGACUCCUACGGGAGGCAGCAGUGGGGAAUAUUGCACAAUGGGCGCAAGCCUGAUGCAGCGACGCCGCGUGGGGGAUGACGGCCUUCGGGUUGUAAACUCCUUUCAGCCAUGACGAAGCCCUUGUGGUGACGGUAGUGGUAGAAGAAGCACCGGCUAACUACGUG
rnacentral:rRNA from 1 species